rnacentral:rRNA from 1 species
CUGAAACAUCUAAGUACCCCGAGGAAAAGAAAUCAACCGAGAUUCCCCCAGUAGCGGCGAGCGAACGGGGAGCAGCCCAGAGCCUGAAUCAGUGUGUGUGUUAGUGGAAGCGUCUGGAAAGGCGCGCGAUACAGGGUGACAGCCCCGUACACAAAAAUGCACAUGCUGUGAGCUCGAUGAGUAGGGCGGGACACGUGGUAUCCUGUCUGAAUAUGGGGGGACCAUCCUCCAAGGCUAAAUACUCCUGACUGACCGAUAGUGAACCAGUACCGUGAGGGAAAGGCGAAAAGAACCCCGGCGAGGGGAGUGAAAAAGAACCUGAAACCGUGUACGUACAAGCAGUGGGAGCACGCUUAGGCGUGUGACUGCGUACCUUUUGUAUAAUGGGUCAGCGACUUAUAUUCUGUAGCAAGGUUAACCGAAUAGGGGAGCCGAAGGGAAACCGAGUCUUAACUGGGCGUUAAGUUGCAGGGUAUAGACCCGAAACCCGGUGAUCUAGCCAUGGGCAGGUUGAAGGUUGGGUAACACUAACUGGAGGACCGAACCGACUAAUGUUGAAAAAUUAGCGGAUGACUUGUGGCUGGGGGUGAAAGGCCAAUCAAACCGGGAGAUAGCUGGUUCUCCCCGAAAGCU